CAUAGUCCGUCAUCUGCUGCCAUGUGACAAGCAGUUCUGCAGGUGCACUUUAUGGCCCAUUCUCUACCAUGGUUGUUGCUCCUCCUUGGUCUUUUCAUAGGGUCAGGAACACUGGGAGAAGAUACAGUGGGGAAGAUAUCCUUGGGGAGUUGGCCACUUGGCCCCUGGAGGUCCCAGCAGAGCAAGAGGUAGAAAGUGUUACAUGGAGCUCUUGAGAGCGUGUUGCUGUUUUACAACAAGGAUGAACAGACAAACCAGUUCUGGUUUCUGAGACUCAGGGACCCUACAGUGGAUGACUGAACAUUCCCCACCACAGCUACUCUCUUCAGAUCAGCCCCCUGAGGCUGCAGGACUAUAAGCCUAUAAGCCUGGGUAACUCUGCAUACUUCCUCAAUCAUUAUCACCAGGGAUUUCACCCUGCUUGUCUAUGAGAUGCUGUAGGAGUUGAACAUCUUUGCCAGCUCCCAGAUCAUGAAGGAUGGGACCUGCUUCAUCACCCUGGCCUGCUCCCUGGAACAGGCUGGAGAGAAUGUGCAGAACAGCUGGGAGCCUCCUAGUCAUGGGGCAGUUGUGUCCCAUGGGGGGACCACUCUCAGUGUCCCCUGGAUAUCUGGGGAAAGUGAGAGCUAUCACUGCACUGCCAGGAAUCCCACCAGCCAGAGCUCCAGCUCUGUCCUUACCAGACCCCUUUGCUCAGCCUCCUUUGUACCCCACUCCCUGAGGAAAGAAUUUCUUCCUUUUUUGAUUCUGGGAGUUUUGGGGAUUGAAUAGAUUUCACCUGGACAUGGGGAGAAACCAAGAAGAGAAGUACGAGAUGGCGGCCAUCCUGUGAGACACAGAGUUAAAGAAGUUCGCAUGUGGAGUGCUGCCUGAGGCCAGCAUUUCCUGGUGUGAGAGAAGGACAUUGACACUGAUUAAGGCAUAAACCCUAUUUCAUUUACAAACUGAGUUCAAAAUUAUCAGGAAACUGCUAUGUGUCUUCUGUUUAAAAUAAUCUGUUUAUGUUUUAUUGAAGUGUGUUUUUAAGUGUUCAGAAAGAAAAAGGAGCUUAUUUAUUUAAGAAAAAUUGAAUGGAACAUAAAAACAUUGUUAUUGUCACACA
rnacentral:lncRNA from 1 species